CAGCAGCCGCGGGAAUACGUAGGUGGCAAGCGUUGUCCGGAAUUAUUGGGCGUAAAGCGCGCGCAGGUGGUUUAAUAAGUCUGAUGUGAAAGCCCACGGCUCAACCGUGGAGGGUCAUUGGAAACUGUUAAACUUGAGUGCAGGAGAGAAAAGUGGAAUUCCUAGUGUAGCGGUGAAAUGCGUAGAGAUUAGGAGGAACACCAGUGGCGAAGGCGGCUUUUUGGCCUGUAACUGACACUGAGGCGCGAAAGCGUGGGGAGCAAACAGGAUUAGAUACCCGCGUAGUCCCUGUCUCUUAUAA
rnacentral:rRNA from 1 species